rnacentral:rRNA from 1 species
UAAGACAGAGGUGCCAAGCGUUAGGCGGAAUCACUGGGCUUAAAGCGUGUGUAGGCGGGUUUGUAAGUACCUUGUGAAAUCCCACGGCUUAACCGUGGAACUGCUGGGUAUACUGCGAAUCUUGAGCUGUCUAGGGGUUGCGGGAACAAACGGUGGAGCGGUGAAAUGCGUAGAUAUCGUUUGGAACGCCAAUGGUGAAAACACGCAACUGGGGACAUGCUGACGCUGAGACACGAAAGCCAGGGGAGCGAACGGGAUUAGAUACCCCGGUAGUCCUGGCCGUAAACGAUGUCGACUAGAUCGUGGUGGCUCUGACGCCUUCACGGUCGAAGCAAAAGUGCUAAGUCGACCGCCUGGGAAGUACGGUCGCAAGGCUA